rnacentral:rRNA from 1 species
GAUGAACGCUGGCGGCGUGCUUAACACAUGCAAGUCGAACGGUGAAGCCAAGCUUGCUUGGUGGAUCAGUGGCGAACGGGUGAGUAACACGUGAGCAACCUGCCCUGGACUCUGGGAUAAGCGCUGGAAACGGCGUCUAAUACUGGAUAUGAGACGUGAUCGCAUGGUCGUGUUUGGAAAGAUUUUUCGGUCUGGGAUGGGCUCGCGGCCUAUCAGCUUGUUGGUGAGGUAAUGGCUCACCAAGGCGUCGACGGGUAGCCGGCCUGAGAGGGUGACCGGCCACACUGGGACUGAGACACGGCCCAGACUCCUACGGGAGGCAGCGGUGGGGAAUAUUGCACAAUGGGCGAAAGCCUGAUGCAGCAACGCCGCGUGAGGGAUGACGGCCUUCGGGUUGUAAACCUCUUUUAGCAGGGAAGAAGCGAAAGUGACGGUACCUGCGGAAAAAGCGCCAGCUAACUACGUGCCAGCCGCCGCCGUAAGAC